rnacentral:rRNA from 1 species
UACAGAGGGUGCGAGCGUUAAUCGGAAUUACUGGGCGUAAAGCGCACGUAGGCGGCUUGGUAUGUCGGGUGUGAAAUCCCCGGGCUCAACCUGGGACCUGCAUUUGUGACUGCAUCGCUAGAGUACGGUAGAGGGGGAUGGAAUUCCGCGUGUAGCAGUGAAAUGCGUAGAUAUGCGGAGGAACACCGAUGGCGAAGGCAAUCCCCUGGACCUGUACUGACGCUCAUGCACGAAAGCGUGGGGAGCAAACAGG